rnacentral:lncRNA from 1 species
CUUGGAGGUGUCUUUAAAAUGUGGACGUACAGAUAGUAGAAAUAGUCUGUGAGCAGCAACCCUGCAAGCCAUCUGAUCAAAAUGAAGUACGAUUAAGGCCGGGACAACCCAGGAGGCAGGUUCAUGUCCUGAUACUUGGUGCAGGUGCUACCCUUUGCUCAUAACCAGCUGGGGCUUUCUGCAUGGCAAACUUUCUUUUCUUCAAGAAACCACCUUGCUGGUAAGGUUUCUCCACUGGACAGUCAAAUUGUUCUAGGGCUAUACAGUGGGACAUUAUUCACAACUAUCUAUGUCACAUGCUCAGGAUAUACUUACAAAGCUGAUGUGAACCAGAGGCUGAGGGAGGGCACAGGCAGUCUCGAGACUUGAACAGCUAACAGAAAGGGCCCAGGGGUCUGUGCACCAACAUCACA